rnacentral:misc_RNA from 1 species
UCAAACUUGGUCAUUUAGAGGAAGUAAAAGUCGUAACAAGGUCUCCGUUGGUGAACCAGCGGAGGGAUCAUUACCGAGUUUACAACUCCCAAACCCCUGUGAACACUACCACUGUUGCCUCGGCGGGACCGCCCCGGGCGCCCCUGCGCGCCCCGGAACCAGGCGCCCGCCGGAGGAUCCAAACGCCUGUAUUUUCUCUAGGAUCUUCUGAGUUUCAGCGAAUAAAUCAAAACUUUCAACAACGGAUCUCUUGGCUCUGGCAUCAAUGAAGAACGCAGC